GGAACAUGAGUGUGCAGAAAAAGUGAAGGCCGUUUGGGCAACGGUCACCCAAGGGGCUGCCAAAAAUGACACAGAGAUCUGGAGAAAAGGAAGGCACGACCCGUUCCCUGACUGCUCGCGCACCCCCUCGCCCCCGCCAUCGCCCCACUGGGAAUGCCAGAGGGGCGGACAUGCCUACGUGUUCUUCAGAGAGCCCCAUAACAAGGGAACAGCAGUGCAGUACACCUUUCAGGGAGAGGCCCUCCACAUUCCAUCACAGAGAUUCCCCUAUGAAGACUGCCCUCUGCUGAAUGGGGACUUGACAGCGUCUGCAAACAGCACCUCCCCGUCUCUGCCCUUAUCCCCAC